rnacentral:rRNA from 1 species
ACGGCCGCGGUACUCUGACCGUGCAAAGGUAGCAUAAUCAUUUGCCCUAUAACUGAGGGCCAGUAUGAAGGGUCUGACGAGGGUUGUACUGUCUCUGUAAGAAUCCCUAAAAAUUAUUCUUUAGGUAAAGAAACCUAAAUAAAAUUAAAAGACAAGAAGACCCUAUCGAGCUUAAAAUCUAUUUAUGAUAUAAACAAAGCCAUCUAUUGCAUCUCCCUUCAUAAAAAAUUUUGGUUGGGGCGACCAAGGAACAAAAAAAGCUUCUUUUACAAAAAUUACAUUAUAAUUGAUCCACACCUAUUGUGAUUAAAAAAAUUAGUUACCGUAGGGAUAACAGCAUAAUCUUUUUUGAGAGCUCCCAUCGAAAAAAGGGUUUGUGACCUCGAUGUUGGACUAGAAUAUCCCGACAGGUGCAGAAGCCUUCAAA